GUGCUUGCUACGACUGAGGUUGAGGGAGAUGCUGUUGAAGCAGAGAGGGCGGCUGCUGAACUCUCGAAGCUCGAUGCUGAGAGAUCACUCUUCGGACAAAAUGAUUCAGCCGCCCCUGCCUAACAAGCCUCUCGUUCUCAUCGUGGAGCUGGUUGCAGUCUUCAGUAACGUGACCAUGGUCAUGAUGGUAAAAACAGUAUCUAUUCG
rnacentral:lncRNA from 1 species